ACAUUUCUUUGAGUAUUUAUAUUUAAAGUAUUUUCUGCCCUAUGAUUAUAAUUAAAUGGCCGCAGUAUUUUGACUGUGCAAAGGUAGCAUAAUAAUUAGUUUCUUAAUUGGUAACCAGUAUGAAUGAAUUAAUGAAAAAUUAGUUUUAUUAGUAAUACAAUUAUAAUUUAAUCUUUUAGUUAAAAAGCUAAGGUUUGUAGUUGGGACGAUAAGACCCUAUAGAACUUUUAUAUUAUUAUUUAAACAAAAUUUUAGUUAAUUGUAAUUAUAUUAAUUGCUUGAAUUUUAUAUUUUUACUGGGGUGGUGAAUAAAUUAUGACUUUAUUUUGAAAAUUUAUUUAUUAAUAUUUUUAUUGAUCCAAUUGUUUUGAUUAAAAGAUUAAGUUACCUUAGGGAUAACAGCGUAAUUUUAGUGGGAAGUUCAUAUUUAUACUAAAGUUUGCGACCUCGAUGUUGAAUUAAGAUUAAGUUAAGGGGUAGUUUUUUUAAAUUUAAGUCUGUUCGACUUUUAAAUUCUUACAUGAUCUG
rnacentral:rRNA from 1 species